GAUGGGUCUGCGGCCUAUCAGGUAGUAGUGGGUGUAACGUACCUACUAGCCAGCGACGGGUAAGGGUUGUGAGAGCAAGAUCCCUGAGAUGGAUUCUGAGACAUGAAUCCAGGCCCUACGGGGUGCAGCAGGCGCGAAAACUUUACACUGCGGGAAACCGCGAUAAGGGGACCCCGAGUGCCAGUACCUAGUACUGGCUGUCCAGCUGUCUAAAUAACAGUUGUUAGCAAGGGCCGGGCAAGACCGGUGCCAGCCGCCGCGGUAACACCGGCGGCCCGAGUGGUAACCGCUUUUAUUGGGUUUAAAGGGUCCGUAGCCGGCUUAUUAAGUCUUUUGGGAAAUCUGGCGGCUCAAUCGUCAGGCGUCCAAGAGAUACUGGUAGGCUUGGGACCGGGAGAGGUGGGAGGUACUCCAGGGGUAGGGGUGAAAUCUCGUAAUCCUUGGGGGACCACCGAUGGCGAAGGCAUCCCACCAGAACGGGUCCGACGGUGAGGGACGAAAGCUGGGG
rnacentral:rRNA from 1 species